rnacentral:rRNA from 1 species
UGGGGAAUAUUGGACAAUGGGGGGAACCCUGAUCCAGCAAUGCCGCGUGUGUGAAGAAGGCCUGAGGGUUGUAAAGCACUUUCAGUGGGGAGGAGGGUUGAUUGGUUAAGAGCUGAUUGAUUGGACGUUACCCACAGAAGAAGCACCGGCUAACUCCGUGCCAGCAGCCGCGGUAAUACGGAGGGUGCGAGCGUUAAUCGGAAUUACUGGGCGUAAAGGGUGCGUAGGUGGUUUUUUAAGUUAUCUGUGAAAUUCCUGGGCUUAACCUAGGGCGGUCAGGUAAUACUGGAAGACUCGAGUAUGGGAGAGGAUAGUGGAAUUUCCGGUGUAGCGGUGAAAUGCGUAGAGAUCGGAAGGAACACCAGUGGCGAAGGCGGCUAUCUGGCCCAAUACUGACACUGAGGCACGAAAGCGUGGGGAGCAAACAGGAUUAGAUACCCCCGUAGUCC